GGCAGUGUGGCAUAGUGGUUUGAGUGUUUGGCUAUAACUCUGGAGACCAGAAUUCGAUUCCUGGCUUGGCCA